AUGGUGACCAUUGAGACAUCCCCAGAAUCCAGCCAGUUUCUUCACAGGUCACUAGGAGGUCCCCCCAAAAAAGGUACAUAUUCUGGACGCACUCUUUUUCUAAGAAAAAAAUCUUCAUUGUUGAGAAAGGUUGAACUUACUGUUCCGCUUUUGCUGGAGAGCCACUUUGGAUUGAGCUUUCUGCCAGACAUGAGGUUUGGACAGGUUGGUGUAAACAACGUGAAGAAUCUAGUAAAGAACUGUGACCAUCUCAAUCUAGUCCCUGAAGUAGUGGCGUCAUUUAGAUGGAAGAGGAUGGUGUGCAUCACGGCUGGGAAGUGGAGGAGAGAGUUCGUGUAAAGUGAUCAAAAGUGUCUUUGGGAGCCUGUGCGCAUUUCCCCAGAAAGCACGUUUCCAUGUGCAAAGCCCAACACAAGGAUUACUGUUCUAAACACAAAAUGCAUCACCACUGCACACUUCACGUCAAUCAGCCCUUCCAUCCUCCAUGGCAGCUUACCUAAAGGUAAGUUUCAUGUCCUCACUCCUCAGGUGGAGAUGCUGUGGAGAUAAAUUUUUCAAGCUCUUGGGCUCCUACACUGAAGAGGCAAAUGUGAACUCAAGAAUGGGUGAAACAUUGAUGCGAUGGCUACUGUUGUGCACUUGGCAGACAGCACUGGCAUAACUCAUCACCGUGCCAGGGAGUUCAAGCACCUAUGUGUGCAUGUGCGCGUGUGAUGGCCUGUAGAGAUUUUACACACUGUCAUCACAGGACGGUCUUAGUGGUCACCUACCCCAGGGUGGGAACAGCUACAUUUUACAGUGGAAUCCGGCGUGGUCAUUAAUGUGAAGCACACUUGCAGGGCUCAGAGGGUUUUGGUGCCACGAUAGGUUAAUUCUCAGCUCCUGGCCAAAAGCAGAGAAUAAUCAGGGACAUAUUCUGUUUUAUUUAAGAACAUAAUAACCAUAAGGCUUAGAAAUGCUCUGGUUCAGUAGCACACACACCUCAGGCACAGCCUCAGACAGGAGCUCCAGGAACAACUUGGGCUUUAGCCUGGUGCCCAUCUCCCCUGCUGGAACCUCCUGCACAGCUGGGUUGGAGAGGGUCAGCGCCACCACCUGCUGCCCGCAGGACAGGCUGUCCCAGUGUCAGAGCCAGUGAGAGCCUGAGCAGUAAUGGACUCCCUGGACACAUGUUGUGUUGAAAAGGGAGACUGGAAGGAC
rnacentral:lncRNA from 13 species